CCGCGGGCGCGCCCAGGCUCCGCGAUGCUGCAAAUAAAGAACCCAAUUAUAUUCCGGUCGGAGUAUUUAGCCAUCGCGUUCCUUUCGCUUCUUGCUGCACCGAUGGGGAAACAGAGGUCGGGGAGAACCGAUGUGGCUUGCCCAGGGUCACCGGGCAAGUAAGAGGCUGAAUGGAAGAGGAAGAAAGGAGGUCCAAUCAGCGCAAUGCCAUCAAUGUAAUGGACUAAUCUUAUGUCCUUUUUGAAGAAAAGGGUGACCAAUCCCUGCAGUCUCAACCAUGAGAUAAGACUGGAGAACAGUGAAGGUGCAUUCCUGGUCUUGACAGCUAAAAGCAAACUGCUUCUGCUGGUCCUGACUAAUGUGUAAAGAGGCAACAAAGUAUUUGCCAGAUGAAGAGCUGAAGAGCUGGUCUGAAGGGAUGUGUUUGUUUUACCUUAGCAACAAAAUUGCAUCUGGAAUCACAGUUGUAACUGGAGUUACCACCUGGUCAAACUGAUGGUAAUCCAUGGUCAUCCUCUUGGAUCUGUCUUCCACACAGGCCAAAUGGGCGAGUUUAACAAGAAUAUGUUCCAAAGCUCCUCCUGUGAGUCAAGCAUCUGCUGAACCAUUGAUGGAGAGCCAGGGAGAUCAGCAUGGCCCAGAGGAAGAGAUACUGAGUGAGGAUUCUGCAAGACCACACAGGUGCCAUAGGAUGUUUCUGUCCCUGUCCUAGACUCUGCCUGUUUUUAAAGAAGUCCUAUUGCUUCUUACUGGAGAAUGGUGUCAGAAACCAAGUUCUGGGGAGGACCAAGAUCUGUGCUCAUUGCUCCUGGGGAUCAUAGCUCCUCAUCCCUCUAGACAGAACAGGGAAACACGUGUAUACUAAGCUGUGUAUAUGCACAUACCUAGACUAUUCCUAAAUGUAACAUGUGUAUCUAUAUUAAGCUAAACACAAAUCCAUGGUUUCUUUAGCUCUAAUACAUUAUCUCAUGAUCAUCUUAGCCUCCUUCCCUGACUCGUCUGUAAACUCUCACUCCAACAGUGAGAAACCUGACUCCCUGCAUUCCUCAUCCUUUUACUUUGAUCAGUUUCACUGCAUAUGUACAACAAUAAUAGAAUUAUUAACCUGCACCUCCUCGGGGAAAAACUUUAUUAGUCAGUAUUUUGUUUUAUACAUUUCUUUUGCCUUUAGAUUCUCCUGACUUCCAAAGUUGCUUAGAUCAGCACCUUUUAUCCCACUCGUUUUAGCAAAGUUGUUUUAUACCAUUUAAAAGAUAGUGAAGUGUCUUUUGUCAUGGGCUGCAUUUGUAUCCUGGGAUCUCUUAACCUCUUAAAUCACUAUUUUUUAAAAAUUUGCAUACAUUAAGAUUUCACUCUUCAAGUGUGAAAUCCUUUGGGUUUUGACAACUGCUUAAUGUUAUGUAUUUACCAUUUCAGUUAACAUAUAAAAUAUUCCUGUUACAGUCUGGAUAUGGAUUGUCCUCCACAAUCCUUGUGUGUUGAAAGCAUGGUCCCCAGUGCAGCAAGGUUUGGGGGUGGGACUUUGGGGUAAUGAUUGGAUCAUAAGGGCUCUGGCUUCAUCAGUGGAUUAAUCCAUUGAUAGCUAAAUGGACUAUUGGGAGGAGGGAUCUGGUGGAGGAAGUACGUUAUGGGGGAGCAUCCUGGAAGGGUUCAUCAUAUCCCUGACCCUUUCCUCUCAAUCAAUCUCUCUCUCUCUCUCUCUCUCUCUCUCUCUCUCUCUCUCUCCUCUCUCUCUCUCCUCUCUCUCUCUCUCCUUCCCAAACAGAGGAACAGAGCAUCUGUCUCCCACCAUACCUGUCCACCAUGAUGUUAUUCCUUACCUCAGGCCUACAGUAAUAUGCAGCUGGCUGACCAUGGACUCAAUCUUCUGAAAUCAGGAGCCAAAGUAAAUUGUUUCUCCUUUUUUUUUGUAGCCGAUUUGGUCACAGGAAUGAAAAGUGGAGUAACAUAUUUCAUGACUCUGAGUAAAUACAUCCUCUCUCCUCCCAAAUUCCUGGAAAACAACUGACUUUUUUUUUGUUAUUACUAUAAUUUUUUCCUUUUUAUAAUGUCAUGUUAGAAUGACUUGGUGUGUAAUUUUUUCAGAACUAGCUUCUUACAUUUAUCAAUAUGUACAUAAGAGUCAAUCGUGUCUUUCAUGGCUUAAUAUUUAAUUUCUUUUGUUAUUUUUGACUGAUCUGUUGCAUAGAUAUAACAUACUUUAUCCAUGCACUUAUUAAAGAAUAUCUUGGUUAUUUUUAGUUUACAGUUAUAAUGAAUAAAGCUGUUAUGAAAUUCUUGUACAGAUUUUUAUGUUGUCAUAAGUUUUCAAUUCAGUUGGUAAAUACCUGUAAGUAUAAUUUCUGGAUUGUGUGGUAAAACUCUGCUGAAAUUUCUGAAAAACUGUCCAAUUGUUUUCCAAAGUAAUUCUACCAUUCUGCUUUCUCACAGCAAUGAAUAAGAAUUGUUAGGUUUUUGAAUUUUAGCUAUUCUAAAUGGUGUUUAGUGAUAUCUCAUUGUGUUAAAUUGCAUUUCCCAAUGAAAAAAUUAAAUUGACCAUCUCUUUCAUAGGCUUGUUUAUCAUC